rnacentral:rRNA from 1 species
CAGCGCCACAAGUGGCAAUCACGUUUAUUGGGCCUAAAGCGUCCGUAGCCGGUUUAGCAAAUCUUUUGUGAAAUCGUCAGGCUUAACUUGACGAAUUGCAAAAGACACUACUAAACUAGGGACUGGGAGGAGUCAGAAGUAUUCUGGGGGGACCGGUAAAAUGGUAUAAUCCCCAGAGGACUACCGACGGCGAAGGCAUCUGACCAGAACAGAUCCGACGGUGAGGGACGAAAGCCAGGGGAGCAAACCGGAUUAGAUACCCGCGUAGUCC